ACCCUAGUACCGCUUGGCUUGAUUAGUGACGUUCAGGUGGCUUGUUCAGGUGGGACACGUUCACCUGGGUAGAUUAGUGGCUUGUUCUCAGGUGAUUUGCUCAAGGGACAUGUUCAGGGUUCAGUUCCAUGUGACUUUUAUAAACUGGUUCCUCACGUGUUUCAAUUUGUGAGCUCUUCCACUGGUCGGCGCAGAUGAUUUGUGGCUUUUUUUGUCAGGUGAUUCGUACAAAGGACACGUUUAGGGCUUUGUUCCAUGUGACGUCUUCAAAUUAGUUCCUCUGGUGUUUCAGGUGACUUCCUUAGGUGACUUUUUCAGGUGACUUUUUCAGGUGACUUUUUCAGGUGACUUUUUCAGGUGACUUUUUCAGGUGACUUUUACAGGUGACUUUUUCAGGUGACUUUUUCAGGUGACUUUUUCAGGUGACUUUUUCAGGUGACUUUUUCAGGUGACUUUUUCAGGUGACUUUUUCAGGUGACUUUUUCAGGUGACUUUUUCUGGUGACUUUUUCUGGUGACUUUUUCAGGUGACUUUUUCAGGUGACUUUUUCAGGUGACUUUUUCAGAUGACUUUUUCAGGUGACUUGCUCAGGUGACUUCCCUAAACCAGAUGGCCAUAAAGCUACUGAUAUUCACAUGACAUACUGAGGUGACUGGCAGAUGACUAAAUAAGGCGAUGAAUAGGUCACACAAGUUACUAUAGAGAUAACUUUUUAGACUACUUGUUUUUUUUUUUGUGUGUGUGUCCUUGUGGGUUAAGCAACUGGCCUGACCAUUUGACAGCACUAUAUGUCGGUUGAGGAACUGCCCUGAAUAUUUGCCUGAACUAGAUGACUCAUAAGCCUUACUUUCUUCACGGGUGACUUGAACGAGCAGCCUGAACGAGAUAUAGUUUAAUAAAUAACUUAGUGCAUGGGUAACCCCUUCCUCGCCGGUGCCUGGCUUAAGCCCUGCCAAGCCAUCCAGCGCCCUUCAUGCGACCCUCCCUCGACGCUGUAUCCGCCUGACAUCUCUUAUUAGUCUUCCCUUGUACCCAUCCUCUCCUCCUGUUAGAUUUUUUCCUAUCACUAACCUCGAAUACCACUUUAUUUAUUUCAUUGUGUUGAUUUAUGGAUUUCAGUUAUUUUUCUGUCUUUAUGAUCUUUGUUUCUGCUGCUGUGUUCUUUGUUGCUGAGUUGUCGUUUUAUUUUAUCUAUUUUUUCAUAUAUAUGCUGCUCCAUAAUCGUACAUUAACUGAAAUAAUUCACUCUUAUUGUUGUUAUUCAUUUGAUACAAAUAUUUCUUAUUAUUUGCAUUUUGAUUUAAUAAACACGUAACAUCUGGAAGCAAUACAAAUGAGGAACAAACACCCUCCCCCCCACACACUCACAUGAUCAAGAUGAGAAACUGAGGAGGAAGUGGUGCCUGAGGGAUAUCAAGAAAUUAAACUUUCCCCAUCGAUGCAUUGGCAUAUGCAAGGACCUUAAAAAGACGAUGGUUCAAACCGAAAAUGUUCAAGAAUUUAAAACUAAACUUGAAACAUGAUAUUUGGAAUGACGUCCCAACGAGUGUCUCACAACUCGGGAAAUACAAUUGGAUGAGUACACCCUGCCCACCCCUACACACAUACACACUCAUUAUAUUGAUUUGCUUUGUUUGCUAACCUUUUCUCUCCCCGCCUCCCUGCCUGGCCG